CCAAUAGCGUAUAUUAAAGUUGUUGCAGUUAAAAAGCUCGUAGUUGAAUUUCAGGACUAACAGAUUGGUCGCGCCUUUGGUGUGUACUGGUCUAGUUGGUUUCUCCCUUCUGACGAACCACGAUGUCAUUAAUUUGGUGUCGUGGGAAAUCAGGACUGUUACUUUGAAAAAAUUAGAGUGUUUAAAGCAAGCGUUAGCUU
rnacentral:rRNA from 1 species